GCCCUUAGAGUUUGAUCCUGGCUCAGGAUGAACGCUGGCGGUAUGCUUUACACAUGCAAGUCGUACGAGAGUUUUUAACUCAAGUGGCGGACGGGUGAGUAACACGUAAGAAUUUGCCUUUAGGAGGGGGAUAACAACUGGAAACGGUUGCUAAUACCCCAUAUGCUUUCGAGUAAAAUGGAUUUUCCGCCUAAAGAGAAGCUUGCGGCUGAUUAGCUUGUUGGUGAGAUAAUGGCUCACCAAGGCGACGAUCAGUAUCUGGUUUGAGAGGACGAUCAGACACACUGGAACUGAGACACGGUCCAGACUCCUACGGGAGGCAGCAGUGGGGAAUUUUCCGCAAUGGGCGAAAGCCUGACGGAGCAAUACCGCGUGAGGGAUGACGGCCUAUGGGUUGUAAACCUCUUUUUUCAGGGAGGAAUCAAUGACGUGUACCUGAAGAAUAAGCAUCGGCUAACUCCGUGCCAGCAGCCGCGGUAAGACGGAGGAUGCAAGUGUUAUCCGGAAUCACUGGGCGUAAAGCGUCUGUAGGUGGUCAAAUAAGUCAACUGUUAAAUCUUGAGGCUCAACCUCAAAAUCGCAGUCGAAACUAUUCGACUAGAGUAUAGUAGGGGUAAAGGGAAUUUCCAGUGGAGCGGUGAAAUGCGUAGAGAUUGGAAAGAACACCGAUGGCGAAGGCACUUUACUGGGCUAUUACUAACACUGAGAGACGAAAGCUAGGGUAGCAAAUGGGAUUAGAUACCCCAGUAGUCCUAGCCGUAAACAAUGGAUACUAGAUGUUGAACAGAUCGACCUGUGCAGUAUCAAAGCUAACGCGUUAAGUAUCCCGCCUGGGAAGUAUGCUCGCAAGAGUGAAACUCAAAUGAAUUGACGGGGAAGGCGAAUUCUGCA
rnacentral:rRNA from 1 species